AGAUACUUAGCUUAUAAAAAGCAUUUACUUUGAAAGUAAAAGAAAGAAUAAAUAUUUAGUGUCUU
rnacentral:tRNA from 1 species